UGCAACUCGACUCCAUGAAGCUGGAUUCGCUAGUAAUCGCGCAUCAGCCAUGGCGCGGUGAAUACGUUCCCGGGCCUUGUACACACCGCCCGUCAAGCCAUGGAAGCCGGGGGUGCCUGAAGUGCGCGACCGCAAGGAGCGCCCUAAGGUAAAACCGGUGACUGGGGCUAAGUCGUAACAAGGUACC
rnacentral:rRNA from 1 species